rnacentral:rRNA from 1 species
AUGGCCGAGCCGGUGCCGCACCUCACCGACGAGAUCAUGGAGGAGAUCUUCCUCCGCCUGGACACGCCGGCCGCGCUCGCCCGCGCCUCAACCGCCUGCCCCCGUUACCGCCGCGUCAUCACCCAGCGCUCCUUCCUCCGCCGCUACCGCAAACGCCACCCGCCGCCGCUCCUCGGACUCCUCAGCGAGCAAGACGGCUUCCACCCCGCUCAGGCGCCCCACCCCUCCGCCCCGCUCGCGCGCGCCCUCGCCGCCGCCGCUGAUUUCACCUACUCAUUCGUCCCCAAGCUCAAAGUUGGUACCCCACCGUUCCCUGCCGACUGGUAUCUCCGCGACGGCCGCCGCUACGUGUUGAUUCCGCCCAUACCCAAGGACCUAGCCGUCCAGGAAGAGAAAUUUGUUCAAAUCGAGACAAUGCUCGCUCCCGUCGGUGACGAAGAGGAUGAGACGGCCUUCAGAGUUAUCUGCCCGGCGCACUACACCGGCAAAUUGGUUGCAUUUGUCUUCUCCUCCGUCACUUCAAAUUGGUGUAUAGCUGCAUCCACCAGCUGGAGUUCUUUGGGCUUGGUUCAGCCCAAUUUGACAUUGUCCGAUCACAGUUGCCUACAGGGCUGCUUCUACUGGUCGGACCUUUGCAGUUUCUGGAGGGACAAGUGGCUUGUGCCCUGGAGGGACAAGUGGCUUGUGCUGGACACGCGCACAAUUGAGUUCUGCACUAUCGACUUCCUCACAGGUUACCAUAAGCAACUUGUAGAUCAGCCUGGCCAGAGGAGACGCCAGUCUUCCAUUGUAGUGGCUAGAGAGGAAGAAGCCCUUAAGAUGGUUUCUCUCGUCGGUGAUAGGAAUACAAAAGGCACGUUUGCUGUCCAUCACACCAUUCAGAAAGAUAACGAUGACUCUUCCAUGGACUGGCAGCUGAAGGAAAUCAGACCGUUGUCUAGCCAGUAUUACUAUUACACCGUGGGUGCAGCUGAGGGAUUCCUAUUCCUUGGAGCUACUACCUUUGCAGAAGAGGAGUGGGUAGCUGAUGGAGCCUGGUUGAGGCAGAGGAGUUAUUUUGAAGUACAUUAUUUUUCGCUGGAUGUCCGGACUUCUGAACUUACAAAGGUUUGCAUUCUUAUUGUUCUUGUAGAAGAUUUUGUGUCAGUCAGUAAUUCGCUACCUUUCCAUUAUCAACUGGGGACUGAUGGCCUCGCCGGCGCCACCGGCUGCGUCACCCCGCAUUGUCCUCAGGGCUACACAGUGAUGCUCCUAUCCGAAAUUGAAAUCUAA